rnacentral:rRNA from 1 species
ACGGAGGGUGCAAGCGUUAUCCGGAUUUACUGGGUUUAAAGGGUGCGUAGGUGGGUAGGUAAGUCAGUGGUGAAAUCUUCAAGCUUAACUUGGAAACUGCCAUUGAUACUAUUUAUCUUGAAUACUUUGGAGGUAAGCGGAAUAUGUCAUGUAGCGGUGAAAUGCUUAGAUAUGACAUAGAACACCAAUUGCGAAGGCAGCUUACUACACAGUUAUUGACACUGAGGCACGAAAGCGUGGGGAUCAAACAGGAUUAGAUACCCUGGUAGUCCACGCCCUAAACGAUGGAUACUCGACAUUAGCGAUACACAGUUAGUGUCUGAGCGAAAGCAUUAAGUAUCCCACCUGGGAAGUACGACCGCAAGGUUG